rnacentral:lncRNA from 10 species
GCCAACUUACUUCUGAUGAAGCUGGCACAGCAGAGUGACGGGAUGUGGCUCCCGAGAUCCGGUUACAAAGCCUGUGGCUCUGUCUUCGCUGUGCUCUCUGGCUCUCUGGCAUCCUGGGGGGUGCUGGCUGCUGUGCUGGGAGGAAGCCCUGUGGACAAGCCCAGGUGACAGCGAUGAGGGGCUGAGUCAACAGCUGUGCAAGUGAGCUGGGGAGCAGAUCCCCUAAGCUGAGCCUUCAGAUGAGCCUGCAGCCCCAACCCAAAGGCUCGGUACAACCCACGAGAGACGGUAAGCCAGAGCCACCACAGAGCCUGGAUUCCCGCCCCACAGACACUGAGAGAAUAAACUGUGUUGUUUUAAGUCCCUGUGUUUGGGGGCAAUUUGCCACACAGUAAAAGACAGCACAGGUACCGCAUGUCUUCUACAGGUUCACGGGUGCAGUGGCUGGUGGGAGCCUCAGGUUCCAGGUCCAGAGCUCCAGGUGUCGCAGGCUUGACCUUGGAAAGAUGGAUCCAGCUACUUAAUCCUAGUACUUUGACCUCCGAAG